rnacentral:rRNA from 1 species
UACGGAGGGGGCUAGCGUUGUUCGGAAUUACUGGGCGUAAAGCGCACGUAGGCGGCUUUGUAAGUUAGAGGUGAAAGCCCGGGGCUCAACUCCGGAAUUGCCUUUAAGACUGCAUCGCUAGAAUUGUGGAGAGGUAAGUGGAAUUCCGAGUGUAGAGGUGAAAUUCGUAGAUAUUCGGAAGAACACCAGUGGCGAAGGCGGCCAACUGGUCCGGUACUGACGCUGAGGUGCGAAAGCGUGGGGAGCAAACAGG